rnacentral:misc_RNA from 1 species
CAAUGAAGUGUUCAAUGGCACUUUAAAUCCAUUACCCACCUUGUGUGCAUUGUCAGGAGGAAGAUCCCUUGGGAUUUUUCUCUUUUUCAUUCCACUCUUUUUUUUUAACAUCAGUCUACAUCAAUUGAGAAUUAAAAAUCUCUAAUA